CUGUUUUCUGCGUGUCAAGUAUUUAUUCCUAUGACCAUGAGAUCAUAUAACUUACUGACACCGGAGGAAUGCUUUGUGUGUAUCAAACGUCGCAACGUAACUGGGUGACUAUAAAGAUGCUCUACAGGUAUCUCCGAAGGUGUUAGUUGAGUUAGUAUGGAUCAAGACUGGGAUUUGUACCAUAUUAUAAGCCUUCCCAGCUCCACAUACAUCUCCAUCGUGUGUUUGACACCACCUGGCAAUCGCUAUAUCCAACCUUCGAGAGUUUUGACUACACCGGUUGCCGAUCGCCACCUGCUGCUGGGUAAGAAUUUGUAAGAAAUUGAGAUUUGCUUGACAGAUUUGUGACACAC
rnacentral:lncRNA from 1 species